GAUGAACGCUAGCGAUAGGCUUAACACAUGCAAGUCGAGGGGCAGCAUGAUCUUAGCUUGCUAAGGUCGAUGGCGACCGGCGCACGGGUGCGUAACGCGUAUGCAACUUGCCUUACAGAGGGGGAUAACCCGUUGAAAGACGGACUAAAACCGCAUACACUUGUAUUAUUGCAUGAUAUUACAAGGAAAUAUUUAUAGCCGUAAGAUAGGCAUGCGUCCCAUUAGCUGGUUGGUGAGGUAACGGCUCACCAAGGCGACGAUGGGUAGGGGAACUGAGAGGUUUAUCCCCCACACUGGUACUGAGACACGGACCAGACUCCUACGGGAGGCAGCAGUGAGGAAUAUUGGUCAAUGGGCGAGAGCCUGAACCAGCCAAGUCGCGUGAAGGAAGACAGUCCUAAGGAUUGUAAACUUCUUUUAUACGGGAAUAACGGGCGAUACGAGUAAUUGCAU
rnacentral:rRNA from 1 species